CUUAUCGAAGGCUUUUCUCUUUCGGCAGAGGCAAGCAAACGCACCAUAAACCGGGUCUCAGCUAUCUGAGUUGACUCAGCGGAAUCGGCUCCGAAGGUAAUCAAAAUCAACUUUCUUCAUAUCUUCCGCAAAGAAAACGAUUUUGAUUAGAACUCUUAAUUGUUUGGAUUAAUGUAAUUCUUCUGUCAGAAACAAUGGAUCUCUGUGUAGAAUAUAUGUCUAUCUUCCAUAAAAUUGAUUCCUUUCAACGCCAAAGGCAAGAGAAAUUAGGAGUAUGGAGCUAUUUUUAAGGAAUUUGUAUGUCAAAAACAUGCCUUGUUUGUGAAUUUAAAUUCUUUUCAGAUUUGAAUUGAUUGAUAUUCUGUUUGGUGGGUGAGAAAGUGCUGGAAUAAGAAAGAAAAUGAUAAAUGAAUUGAAAUUUCUAAAUUUUGGUUUUCAUAGCUUCUAAUAGGACUGAAAUCUGCAGUUGUUCGAGCUUCAUUUCUCAUAUACCAUAUUAUGUUAUACAAUUCGCAUGUCUGUAUAAGUUGUAAACUGUGUAUGUUAACAAGCUAAAUGAACCAUAAAAUUGAAUCAGGCUUUUAUGCCUUAGCUGAAGAUUUUAGCUGCCUUUGAACCUAAACCCUAAUCCCAAAAAAUAGGUUUUGACAAGUGCACACAUACUUAUGUGAAUAUGUAUGCAUGCAAUUCAACUAUAUUAAUUAAGAUGGUGAAGUUCUAAUGUUUGGUGGAAUUUUUUUUUCUUGGGACAUUGGCAGAGAUGUCAUACUCAAGGGAAGGGAGAUCUGCUUCACCGCGCACCUCAGUUUCACCUGUUAAAGGUCGUCGAUCAAGGUCCUUGUCAAGGUCUCGUCGAAGUCGAUCCAGGAGUCGUGAUUCUACAGAAGCAGCAAAUCCUGGAAAUAAUUUGUAUGUAACUGGGUUAUCCACUAGGGUUACCAACAGUGAUCUUGAGAAGUUCUUUAACAAAGAAGGGAAGGUUGUGGAGUGUCAUCUGGUAACAGAUCCUCGCACCAGAGAAUCCCGUGGAUUUGCUUUUGUUACCAUGGAAACAGUUGAUGAUGCUGAUCGCUGUAUCAAGUAUUUGAAUCGUUCAGUGCUUGAAGGACGAUUAAUCACUGUGGAAAAGGUCUGGUUUGUGUAACUCCAUCGAAUUCACAAUCUAAGCUCUUAACAGUUGAAUCUAUACCUUCACGAAUCACGACAUGAGUUCUGCAUCGACAUUUCAAACACAUCGAUUCAAAUUCGACUAUUUUGCAGAGGGUUGUAUGCCCUGUAAUGCUUUCUUCACUAGUAAUAGUAUCUGACCUGGCUUUUAUUUAUUUUUUGUUUUAUUUUGAAAUAUCCUAUACAGAGAACAAGUAUUGCCAAUGCACCAUUUUGUUAUCUUAUUAUGUUAAUUACCAAAGGCUGACUUACUAAAACAAAUGAUGAUGAAUGAUAACUCUAGUAGUCUUUACUAGUGGUCAACACAAGCCAUGAUAGCAAGAGUGGCAGAAUGAAACUCUAUGCAGCGACCGUGACUCUUGUGCAGAUUGUUAUCAUCAAUUCCAGAUGGCAAUAUGCAGUUACGUUAUGAAAUAUAAAUGAGUUUCAAAGAGCUGUUUGUGGAAUGGAUGAUAGUUCACUUACUAAAUUGUACUUCGCCUUUGAUCCUUUUCAUUUUAACUUCCUCUUUUCCAUAUCAUGAUAUUGUUUGUGUUCUCUGUGCACAUGCAGGCAAAAAGGAAUCGUGGCAGGACACCAACUCCUGGCAGGUAUCAUGGUCUGAGAGAUAGGCGAGGUACUUUCUGAAAUUACUCUCACAUUUGUGUGAGACUCUGUAUUUCAAUAUUCUCGCCCCUUAGGCCCUUAAUGUUUCAGGGCUGCAUACAAGCUCACUAGCUCAAAACAUUAAGUAAAUAAGGUUUCUAUUCAGUCUUAAAAUGUCCUUCGUAACAUUUCCUUAUGUUUUUUUGGCAAAGUUCAAGGCAUUACAAUAAUUGCGUGGGAUAAUUGAUUCUUGCUUCAUCAGUACUUUGUAUAUUUAUUGGUCUAAAAUGUGCAGGUCGUGGCCACAGACGGUCCCGCAGCUACUCACCUCGCCGAUGGGAUGACAGAGACAGAGACAGAGACAGA
rnacentral:misc_RNA from 1 species